AUCCAAGCGUUAUCCGGAUUUAUUGGGUUUAAAGGGUGCGCAGGCGGACUAAUAAGUCAGGGGUGAAAAGUUUCAGCUUAACUGAAAUCGUGCCUUUGAUACUGUUAGACUAGAGUAUAAUUGACGUGACUGGAAUGUGAUGUGUAGCGGUGAAAUGCUUAGAUAUGUCACAGAACGCCAAUCGUGAAGACAGGUCACGAAAUUAUUACUGACGCUCAUGCACGAAAGCGUGGGGAUCAAACAGGAUUAGAUACCCUGGUAGUCCACGCUGUAAACGAUGAUUACUCGUUGUUGGGCAGUGAUGCUCAGUGGCUAAGCGAAAGCGAUAAGUAAUCCACCUGGGGAGUACGAUCGCAAGGUUGAAACUCAAAGGAAUUGACGGGGGCCCGCACAAGCGGAGGAGCAUGUGGUUUAAUUCGAUGAUACGCGAGGAACCUUACCCGGGCUUGAACGUAAGACGAAUAUAUAAGAGAUUAUAUAGCCUUCGGGCGUCUUGCGAGGUGCUGCAUGGUUGUCGUCAGCUCGUGCCGUGAGGUGUUAGGUUAAGUCCUGCAACGAGCGCAACCCUUACACUUAGUUGCCAGCACGUAAUGGUGGGGACUCUAUGUGAACUGCCUACGCAAGUAGAGAGGAAGGUGGGGAUGACGUCAAAUCAGCACGGCCCUUAUGUCCGGGGCUACACACGUGCUACAAUGGUAUGUACAGAGGGCAGCCACCUGGCGACAGGGAGCUAAUCCUCAAAGCAUAUCCCAGUUCGGAUUGGAGUCUGUAACUCGACUCUAUGAAGUUGGAUUCGCUAGUAAUCGCGCAUCAGCCAUGGCGCGGUGAAUACGUUCCCGGACCUUGUACACACCGCCCGU
rnacentral:rRNA from 1 species